GUGCACUGGACUUCUGUCCUGUUACAGGUUUAAACCAGUUUCUGAUCACUUAAAUUGGUUUAUGUGUCACUUGUGUCCCUAGCCUGUGUGUUCCCAGGAGG